rnacentral:rRNA from 1 species
UACGUAGGGGGCUAGCGUUGUCCGGAAUCAUUGGGCGUAAAGCGCGUGUAGGCGGUCCGGUAAGUCUGCUGUGAAAGUCGAGGGCUCAACCCUCGAAUGCCGGUGGAUACUGUCGGGCUUGAGUACGGAAGAGGCGAGUGGAAUUCCUGGUGUAGCGGUGAAAUGCGCAGAUAUCAGGAGGAACACCAAUUGCGAAGGCAGCUCGCUGGGACGUUACUGACGCUGAGACGCGAAAGCGUGGGGAGCAAACAGG